GUCUAUGGCCAUACCACCCUGAACACAACUGAUCUCAUCUGAUCUCAGAAGCUAAGCAGGGUCAGACCUGGUUAGUACUUGAAUGGGAGAAAUUCCUAUUUAAUCU
rnacentral:rRNA from 1 species